rnacentral:rRNA from 1 species
AUGAACGCUAGCUACAGGCUUAACACAUGCAAGUCGAGGGGCAGCAUGGUCUUAGCUUGCUAAGGCCGAUGGCGACCGGCGCACGGGUGAGUAACACGUAUCCAACCUGCCGUCUACUCUUGGACAGCCUUCUGAAAGGAAGAUUAAUACAAGAUGGCAUCAUGAGUCCACAUGUUCACAUGAUUAAAGGUAUUCCGGUAGACGAUGGGGAUGCGUUCCAUUAGAUAGUAGGCGGGGUAACGGCCCACCUAGUCUUCGAUGGAUAGGGGUUCUGAGAGGAAGGUCCCCCACAUUGGAACUGAGACACGGUCCAAACUCCUACGGGAGGCAGCAGUGAGGAAUAUUGGUCAAUGGGCGAGAGCCUGAACCAGCCAAGUAGCGUGAAGGAUGACUGCCCUAUGGGUUGUAAACUUCUUUUAUAAAGGAAUAAAGUCGGGUAUGGAUACCCGUUUGCAUGUACUUUAUGAAUAAGGAUCGGCUAACUCCGUGCCAGCAGCCGCGGUAAUACGGAGGAUCCGAGCGUUAUCCGGAUUUAUUGGGUUUAAAGGGAGCGUAGAUGGAUGUUUAAGUCAGUUGUGAAAGUUUGCGGCUCAACCGUAAAAUUGCAGUUGAUACUGGAUAUCUUGAGUGCAGUUGAGGCAGGCGGAAUUCGUGGUGUAGCGGUGAAAUGCUUAGAUAUCACGAAGAACUCCGAUUGCGAAGGCAGCCUGCUAAGCUGCAACUGACAUUGAGGCUCGAAAGUGUGGGUAUCAAACAGGAUUAGAUACCCUGGUAGUCCACACGGUAAACGAUGAAUACUCGCUGUUUGCGAUAUACGGCAAGCGGCCAAGCGAAAGCGUUAAGUAUUCCACCUGGGGAGUACGCCGGCAACGGUGAAACUCAAAGGAAUUGACGGGGGCCCGCACAAGCGGAGGAACAUGUGGUUUAAUUCGAUGAUACGCGAGGAACCUUACCCGGGCUUAAAUUGCAGAUGAAUUACGGUGAAAGCCGUAAGCCGCAAGGCAUCUGUGAAGGUGCUGCAUGGUUGUCGUCAGCUCGUGCCGUGAGGUGUCGGCUUAAAUGCCAUAACGAGCGCAACCCUUGUUGUCAGUUACUAACAGGUCAUGCUGAGGACUCUGACAAGACUGCCAUCGUAAGAUGUGAGGAAGGUGGGGAUGACGUCAAAUCAGCACGGCCCUUACGUCCGGGGCUACACACGUGUUACAAUGGGGGGUACAGAGGGCCGCUACCACGCGAGUGGAUGCCAAUCCCAAAAACCUCUCUCAGUUCGGACUGGAGUCUGCAACCCGACUCCACGAAGCUGGAUUCGCUAGUAAUCGCGCAUCAGCCACGGCGCGGUGAAUACGUUCCCGGGCCUUGUACACACCGCCCGUCAAGCCAUGGGAGCCGGGGGUACCUGAAGUGCGUAACCGCGAGGAGCGCCCUAGGGUAAAACUGGUGACUGGGGCU